rnacentral:rRNA from 1 species
GUGGGGAAUAUUGGACAAUGGGCGAAAGCCUGAUCCAGUCAUGCCGCGUGUGUGAAGAAGGUCUUCGGAUUGUAAAGCACUUUAAGUUGGGAGGAAGAGCAGUAAGUUAAUACCUUGCUGUUUUGACGUUACCGACAGAAUAAGCACCGGCUAACUUCGUGCCAGCAGCCGCGGUAAUACGAAGGGUGCAAGCGUUAAUCGGAAUUACUGGGCGUAAAGCGCGCGUAGGUGGUUUUGUAAGUUGGAGGUGAAAUCCCCGGGCUCAACCUGGGAACUGCCUCCAAAACUGCAUGACUAGAGUACGGUAGAGGGUAGUGGAAUUUCCUGUGUAGCGGUGAAAUGCGUAGAUAUAGGAAGGAACACCAGUGGCGAAGGCGACUACCUGGACUGAUACUGACACUGAGGUGCGAAAGCGUGGGGAGCAAACAGGAUUAGAAACCCGAGUAGUCC